CCAAACUCUUAGCUCCCUCUAUCCAACCAUAAAUAUCAACAACUUUGCCCAGGUCCAUUUGGGUCCCCUACUUUGAAACUAAUCUUAAACCAGAUCCCAAAGAACUUACAAAUAUUGUACCUCUGACAUCUAACUGUGAGACACUGCUAAGACUAUCAAGGUGAUAUUUUUGCUCACUUCAUAAAGCAAAAAAUUCAACAUAUUGCUUUAUCAACAGGCUAUUUUGGGGACAUAUUAAGGGAGCCAACAUUUAAUGAUCUUGGAGGUCCCAUCAAAUCUGAUCAAGAGCUCCUAAACCCUCAACUUGGAAACUGUUUUUCUAAGUUUGUUGAGCCUCCUACACAGGGCCUCUCCAAUGACAAUGAUGAGGCAACAGAAAACUUGCAAAAUAGAUUAUGAAAUUACCUCUGGAAGAUUCCUUGGCCAAGACAAGAGAAAUAUGUGAACUAUUAAAGCUAUUUCUACAUCAGCCAGAGCAAUUAGAUAAGAAAAAGAAAGAAAAAAAAGAAAAAGAAAAGGGAUAUAGAUAAGAAUGGAAGAAGUUAAAUUAUUUGCAGAUGACAUAAUCCUCUAUGUAGAAGAUCCCCAAAACUCCACCAAAAGACUCCUAGAAUUAAUAACCAAACCUAGUAGCAGGAUGCAGGAUGCAAAGUCAACACUGAAAAAUAAGUAGUGUUCCUGUAUACCAAUAAUAAACUCACUGAGAGGGAAAACAAUUCCCUUCACGGUAGCAUAAAGAAAAAUGAAAUAUUUAGCAAUUAACCUAACCAAGGCAGUGAAAGACCCCUACGGUGAAAACUGUAGUACUCUGAAAAAGGAGAUCGAAGAGGACAUCAGAAAAUGGAAGGAUAUCAGCUAUUCCUGAGUAGGCAGAACCAAUAUAGUCAAAAUGGCCAAAUUUCUAAAACUGUUAGUUACACAGAUUAAUGCAAUGCCAAUAAAAAUACCAAUAGCAUUUCUUACAGAACCAGAGAAAGCAAUCCUAAAAUUCCUGUGGAACCAGAAGAGACCUAGGAUAGCAAAAGCAGUUCUAGUCAACAGUGGCAAGGCCAGGAGCAUCAUAGUCCCAGACUUCUGUAAAGUCAGACCGAGGCAUGAUUUAGACCACUGAGGCAGGCAAAGUCUAAGCAACAUGCGAUGAGUUUAUUACCAUCUGAGUGCAGAUGGGCCAAGGGCGAGAAGACCGUUGGCACUGAGAGGAGGGUCCACACAGUUGAUAAGGGGCAGUUUAGGUAGGGGAGGGGGCACUGGUAGAAAAUUUUAGAGUCACAUUGGUGAUGGGUCUGGGGCUGCCUGAUAAACAGGGCAGUGGUGAGAGCAGCAAGGCGGCUGCUGGCUUCUUGUUAUCUCUGCUCCUGUGGAUGCAGGUAGCAGGUUUGCUUGGGCAGGGGGUCUGGCUCAGGGACCUGUCAACUUCAAGUUAUACUACAAAGCCACAGUGACAAAAACACCAUAAUAUUGGCAAAAUAAACAUGUGGAUCAAUGGAACAGAAUAGAGGAUGCAAAAACAACUUCAGGCACACUCAGUUACCUUAUCUUUGACAAAGGAGCCAAAUACUUUCCCUGGUGGAAAAAUAGCCUCUAUCACAAAUGAUGCUAGAAAAACUGGCUAUAUGUCUUAUCUUACACUAAACUGAAAUCAAAAUGGAUCAAAGAUCUAAAUAUUAACACAGAAACAUUUAACUGCUGGCAGACAAAAUAGGUAAAGCUCUUGAAGACAGAGGUGUAGGCAGAGACUUUCUGAACAGAACCCCAGUUGCAGAAGAAGUAAUACCAGGAAUCAACAAAUGAAAUCACAUCAAAUUAAAAAGCUUCAAUACAAAAAAAAAAGCUUCAGUACAACAAAGGACACAACCAGCAGACUGAAGAGACAACCUAAGAAUAGGAAAAACAUUUUUUUCCAGCUACUCCUGGAAAAUGACAAAGUACAUAUUAUUCUACUGAUAUGUAGAAUAUGUAAAGAACUCAGAAAAUUAGAUCCUCCAAAUUUAAAGACCCAAUAAAAAAAUGGGCAUCUGAAAUGAAGACACUGCCCAGAUGAAGAAGUACAAAAGGCCAAUAAAUCCAUGAAAAAACAUUCAACAUCUCUGGCAGCAAGACAAACGCA
ensembl:lncRNA